rnacentral:rRNA from 1 species
CCUACGGGAGGCAGCAGUGAGGAAUAUUGGUCAAUGGGCGAGAGCCUGAACCAGCCAAGUCGCGUGAAGGAUGAAGGAUCUAUGGAUUGUAAACUUCUUUUAUAUGGGAAUAAAGUGAGGUACGUGUCCAUUUUUGUAUGUACAAUAUGAAUACGCAUCGGCUAACUACGUGCCAGCAGCCGCGGUAAUACGGAGGAAGCGAGCGUUAUCCGGAUUUAUUGGGUUUAAAGGGUGCGUAGGUGGUAAAUUAAGUCAGCGGUGAAAGGUUGUGGCUCAACCAUAAAAUUGCCGUUGAAACUGGUUGACUUGAGUAUAUUUGAGGUAGGCGGAAUGCGUGGUGUAGCGGUGAAAUGCAUAGAUAUCACGCAGAACUCCGAUUGCGAAGGCAGCUUACUAAACUAUAACUGACGCUGAGGCACGAAAGCGUGGGGAUCAAACAGGAUUAGAUACCCCUGUAGUC